AGACAAAUUGUGAUAAUCAAUAAUGGCACUGUGUCGAUCAGUAUUUGUGGUAGUUGUUAUUUUCGCAUUUGUACUGCAAUGAAAGUGAUAUCUGUUCAUUUUUUAGGACAAAGUUAAACUAUUUUAAGUGCUUAGUAGCAUUACCCUUCGACAAGAUAUCGUGAAAAGACAGAGAAAUUCGAUUAAAAAAGGGUUGCAAAUAACGAAAACGGGUGGAGAAUUACUCUCUGCCACCCGGGUGGCCAAUAUCCUCUGCCAUCAUUUAAAGCAACAAUAUUAUUAAUUUAUGGAAACCAACUACGUCAGACUUUAAAUGGAGUUAAAACAUACUAUAAUUUGGUCAUCCUCCUAUUGAAUCGUGUUAACCUCCAUAUUUCUCAAAUACAAUCUGUGUAAUUUAUAGCUACAUAAAGAUUCCUUAUGUGGAUUAUUAUGAGGCGUAAUUGAUCAACAACAAUAGCAAUCUAAAUAUUGCUAUACCUACUGCGUAGACUUUAUAUUAAGUAAAAAAGGAAAGGUGGAUCAUUAUAUUUUAUGCCAGAUAAUAUUUCUGUCUUUACGUGAUUGUCUGUGGGCGAGAAGAAAGGAUAAAAGACGCUGUUCUGAUUGUAACCGCCAAUUUCAACCUCCGAGUUACGAGUUUUAUAUAAGUAUAUGGUUUAUUCGAAAUUGUUCAGCUUCAAGAUGAAAGUGAACACUUUGACGGGUCUGGGUUUACUUCAAAUAACAUUAACUUUACUGGUAGUAGUCAGUAGUGAAAAGAGAUUAAGGGCAACCACAUUAAAUUGUGUACAGUGUAAUUCUAUGUUUGAUCCAAGUUGUGAUUAUAAUUAUAUAAAAGAACCAACACCCUGUGCCCCGACUGAUCACUAUUGUUCCAUGUUUGUCGUGCUAGUUCAAGGAGAUCGUGCAGUUGUUAAACGAUGUAACACUGAUGCUUAUACAGGCUGUGUCAUCAGACGAGUUGGAAGUGUCAACGCCACUGUGUGUUAUGAAACUUGUGAUUUUGAUGGUUGCAACAACAGCAAUCUUAUGAACAGAAUAUUUUAAGCACAACGAUUUUCAUUGGUAUAAAUUUAUAUGUAAACAUGAGAAAUAAGUCAUUAUGUUACCAUAAUACAUUCUUUCGGAAUACAUUCCAUUUUUAACGCCGAUCUUAAUAAAACUAAAAUUAAUCAUGUCAGUCAAUUGGCCAACUCAAAUCAUUUCGAAACAUUUUCUAACUCUUCAGAAUACAUCUUUAUUCCAGCGAGCUUCUUGCUAUAUAUUUUUAUUGUCUCAAAUUGAAGAACUCAGGAUAUGGAAACAAAAACAGCUCGUUUAUUUUUACUUAGAUAUUUCUUCAUUAUAUCAUGUUUCCUGUACCGUUACAUCUGUGGGCAUUAUAGGGAUUCGUAGAGAGGAGAUCUAUAUGUACGUGUACGAUUACCAUAUGUAAUUUAUAAAUACCUAUUUUUGA